rnacentral:rRNA from 1 species
CGUUAUUCGGAAUUACUGGGCGUAAAGGGCGCGUAGGCGGCUCUUCAAGUGACGGGUGAAAUCCCUCGGCUUAACCGAGGAACUGCCUGUCAGACUGGAAGGCUUGAGACCGGGAGAGGUGAGUGGAAUUCCCAGUGUAGCGGUGAAAUGCGUAGAUAUUGGGAGGAACACCAGUGGCGAAGGCGGCUCACUGGACCGGAACUGACGCUGAGGCGCGAAAGCGUGGGGAGCAAACAGG